AACGAACGCUGGCGGCAUGCCUAACACAUGCAAGUCGAACGAGACCUUCGGGUCUAGUGGCGCACGGGUGCGUAACGCGUGGGAACCUGCCCUUAGGUUCGGAAUAACUCCCCGAAAGGGGUGCUAACACCGGAUAAUGUCUUCGGACCAAAGAUUCAUCGCCUUUGGAUGGGCCCGCGUUGGAUUAGCUAGUUGGUAGGGUAAAAGCCUACCAAGGCGACGAUCCAUAGCUGGUCUGAGAGGAUGAUCAGCCACACUGGGACUGAGACCCGGCCCAGACUCCUACGGGAGGCAGCAGUGGGGAAUAUUGGACAAUGGGCGAAAGCCUGAUCCAGCAAUGCCGCGUGAGUGAUGAAGGCCUUAGGGUUGUAAAGCUCUUUUACCCGGGAUGAUAAUGACAGUACCGGGAGAAUAAGCGCCGGCUAACUCCGUG
rnacentral:rRNA from 1 species